GAAACCAAACCAUAAGGAUUUGAAUGAAAAGUAUUUGAAUAAACAUGAAAAGGUGAAUGUAAGAAGCGCACAUAAUUUGAAAUAGGUUACAUGUCAUAUUAAACAUCAUAUAAACACUAUAAAUAGGUUACAUGUCAUAUUAAACAUCAUAUAAACACUAUAAAUAGGUUACAUGUCAUAUUAAACAUCAUAUAAACACUAUAAAUAGGUUACAUAGGUCAUAUUAAACAGCAUAUAAACACUAUAAAUAGGUUACAUGUCAUAUUAAACAGCAUAUAAACACUCUAAAUAGGUUACAUAUCAUAUUAAACAGCAUAUAAACACUAUAAAUAGGUUACAUGUCAUAUUAAACAGCAUAUAAACACUCUAAAUAGGUUAUAUGUCAUAUUAAACAGCAUAUAAACACUCUAAAUAGGUCAGGUGCCAGACAGGGAGACUAAG
rnacentral:lncRNA from 1 species